GGCCCGUUGGUCAAGCGGUUAAGACACCGCCCUUUCACGGCGGUAACACGGGUUCGAAUCCCGUACGGGAUA
rnacentral:tRNA from 1 species